rnacentral:rRNA from 1 species
GACGAACGCUGGCGGCGUGCUUAACACAUGCAAGUCGAGCGGAAAGGCCCUUCGGGGUACUCGAGCGGCGAACGGGUGAGUAACACGUGAGUAACCUGCCCCAGACUUUGGGAUAACCCUCGGAAACGGGGGCUAAUACCGGAUACGACACAGCUUCGCGUGGGGUCUGUGUGGAAAGUUUUUCGGUUUGGGAUGGGCUCGCGGCCUAUCAGCUUGUUGGUGGGGUGAUGGCCUACCAAGGCGACGACGGGUAGCCGGCCUGAGAGGGCGACCGGCCACACUGGGACUGAGACACGGCCCAGACUCCUACGGGAGGCAGCAGUGGGGAAUAUUGCACAAUGGGCGGAAGCCUGAUGCAGCGACGCCGCGUGAGGGAUGGCGGCCUUCGGGUUGUAAACCUCUUUCAGCAGGGACGAAGCGUAAGUGACGGUACCUGCAGAAGAAGCGCCGGCCAACUACGUG